rnacentral:lncRNA from 1 species
UUACAUUGUCUUUGGUUGUCUAAUAUUUGCAGUAAUAAAUACACAUGAUGUAUAUUUUUAUCUUAAUACAGUUUGUUAUGAUAAGUUAAUGUUUUAAGUGUAUGUUAGGUCAUUUGUUAAUAUAAAAAAGAAGAUGUGGUAUGUAGCAAAGCCCAUACCGCAUAGUCAGCUAUAAAAGGCCCUGAUAAGACAAUGUAAAACAAUUCAAACGAAAAAACUAACAGCCUUAAUAUUUAUAUAAAAAAAUGAACGAAAAACAAAUAUGUAACACAUAAACACACACAACCACUGAAUUACAGGCUCCUGACUUGGGACAGGCACAUACUUAAAUAAUGUGGCGGGGUAUAAGUGUAUUAUAAACAAAAAAAGAUAUUGAUUUGAAACAUUAAUGGUUGUUUGUACAUUGCAAAUAAUGAAACAUAUAUAGUAUGUAACAGUAUGUAAUAAUUACCAGUAGGGUAUGCUGUAUGUAUUCAAAACAUAUUUAAACCAGAUGUUGCUUUUUCAUACUUCAAACUUUUUGUAUGUUGCUGAAUAUCAAAACUAUAUUAACACAUAAGGGUCUUGUCUUGCCUCGUCUCUUCACACUUUGUUAAUCAACAAGUUCUAGAAAAUAGGUUGACAAAGUUGCAGAUUUUUCUACAAAACUUGAAAUUGUGCACCAGUUUUUUUUUAAUUGAUCUGAGCUAUUUUUGGGGGUUCUUUUUACCAAAACCAGGACUUUUCCAUUCUGCUUUUAUUUUUGGCAGAUUGAAGGUGACAUACUGGUAUGUCUCCUUUGGAAGACUCAUGUGUGUAGCAGCUAUGUAUUUAGAUUUAACUUGAGAAAUUCAGAUCCUUGAUGUAUAGAUGGAUUUUGAUUGACACAAUUUGAGCAAGAAUAAUUUCCCAUUUGUAGCCUUGUUGUAGGUUUCAGUGCGUAAAUACCUUCAUAUAAAAUAAACAUUCAAGAUAUUAUUCUGAAUGUUAGCCUUUAGUAAAAGGGCUUUUCUGAACAAUUUUUAACCGGAUUUUUGUGACAAAAAUGUCGGUUAUUGAUUUGGGGAUGUACGGCGGGCGGCC